rnacentral:pre_miRNA from 1 species
UGGUGCAUUACAGGGCAAGUUCUCUUUGGCAGGUAUCACCACAAGCCAUGCAACAUUCCGCAACCCGCCAAAGGAGAUUUGCCCAGCAAUUCUCCU